CCUACGGGUGGCUGCAGUAACGAAUCUUCCACAAUGCACGAAAGUGUGAUGGAGCGACGCCGCGUGUAGGAUGAAGUUCUUCGGAAUGUAAACUACUGUCAGGGGAAAGAAAGUUCUGAUCUACCCCAGAGGAAGGCACGGCUAACUCUGUGCCAGCAGCCGCGGUAAGACAGAGGUGCCAAGCGUUAGGCGGAAUCACUGGGCUUAAAGCGUGUGUAGGCGGAUUGACAAGUACCUUGUGAAAUCCCACGGCUCAACCGUGGAACUGCUUGGUAUACUGUUGAUCUUGAGCUAUCUAGAGGCAACUGGAACAAACGGUGGAGCGGUGAAAUGCGUAGAUAUCGUUUGGAACGCCAAAGGUGAAAACAGGUUGCUGGGGAUAUUCUGACGCUGAGACACGAAAGCCAGGGGAGCAAACGGGAUUAGAUACCCGUGUAGUC
rnacentral:rRNA from 1 species